rnacentral:sRNA from 1 species
UAUUUGAUGUGUGCAGCAAGCCUUAGGAUGUUAAGCACAAGUUUUAAAAAUAAAAGACCUUUUUAUGUCAUAUCAACACAAAAUGGGCAUAUUAUAGCAGACAUCUGUACUUUUGGUUGGUUAAAUAUCAAUUGUAAAUUUGCUAUUUGAUUUUAUAAUUAUUGGAGUAAAUGAAACCCAGACAAUAAAGUUUGGUAUGGAUGAAAACUUCUAAACAAAAUGGAGAGAAUUCUAAAAGUAAAUGGAGUGAGUUCUUAAAAAGAAAUUGGAAAGAGAUUAAAUGUUUCUUGUAUUCUAAAUCGUAAUUGAUAAAAAUUAUCAUUCUUUGUCUUCUUCUGAAGCUCUCAACUUCUUGUGUUAUGAAGUAGAGGCUUCUUCAAUGUUUUGGUCUUCGACUGUUUCCAGACAUAACAUUUUUAAUAUUGAUGGUAAUAUCAAUAUUGAUGGACACUUUAGGAGAGACCCAAACGAUCUUGAUGCUUUGUAAACAGCAUGUUUUGCUCGAUGAUUACUAGUAUGAUGCAUUUUACCCUAUACAUAUGGUCGCCCAAAGGGCACAAACACUGUUAGUUAUUUCAUGAACUUGUUAUUGUAUGUAUGUAUAGAUAACUUUAUCAGAGUCAAUAAACUGUUAUCAAUAAUUU